GAAAUUUUACAGUAUUUACUCAAGAAGAGUUAGAUAAGGAAGGGGUUGGCCAGAAAUAUUAACCUAAUUUUAUCAUGUUUAUUCACAUUUUUAAGGGUUGAAUUAUUUAUAUAUAUUAUUGGAUGCCUAAUUGACUUUAAAUAGGUGCCGAUUUGACUAGAUGUCGAUUUAACCAGGUGCCGAUUUGACUUUUUCUAUUGGUGCCGAUUUGACUUGUACCCUAUUAUUAAGGCCCUAAAGUGAGUUUGAAUAUUGUACGGUGUUUUACUUGGCGGAAUGUCAAUACACUCACAGUAAGAGUUAUUCUUUACUUGCUUUUCCACAAUAAUUGUUUCGUGGUAUUCUUUGAAUUUCUCGGCAGUUAUGGUUCUCUUCGGACAUGCUUUUAAGAGGAAUUCGUCUGGUUCAAUAGCGUGAAUCAGCCCCUCAACUUCUUUGUACAUAAAUACUAACUUUGGCUUCAACGCCUUGUUUCGUCCUUGUCUGGAGAUCUUGUUGUAGUUCCAGUUUGGCAAGCAUUUUGGAGACUUAUCCAUCCUCUUUUGACUUGUAAUCUCUGGUGAUAAAUUUUGCCGCUUGACAUGUUUAUUUUUGUUACCGGAGUAGGGGUCGCAUACGAUGGCUCCAUAUUAAAUUAUGAGAUCAAUUCCUAAAGGUCUAGUUCAUUAUCCAAUCUGACACAAAUUUCAAUAACUGGAAUGCCACCCAAGAUGAAUAUAUGGUGACCCACUAUAACAGCAUAAUUACUUGGAAUUGUGUUUAAUACCAUGAUGGUUCAAUGGCAUAAACUUAAAUGGAGACAAAAUUUAACAUGAAAGAUUGUGGAUUAG
rnacentral:lncRNA from 1 species